rfam:Salmo salar isolate Sally breed double haploid chromosome ssa06, whole genome shotgun sequence.
UGCAUUCACUACUGUAAUUCGCUCUGGAUAAGAGCGUCUGCUAAAUGACCUAAA